rnacentral:lncRNA from 1 species
CUGUUAUCCUGGCUGGAAUGCAUUGGAGCCAACACGGCUCACUGCAGCCUCAACUUCCCAGGCUCAAGUGAUCCUCUCACCUCAAUCUCCCGAGUAGCUGGGACCACAGGUGUGUGCCACCAUGGCUGGCUAAUUUUUUUAUGUUUAGUAGAGAUGAGGUCUUGUUAUGUUGCCCAGGUUGGUCUCAAACUCCUGGCCUCAAGUGAUCCCCCUGUUUUGGCCUCCCAAAGUACUGGGAUUAGAGGCAUGAGCCCUCAUGUCCGGCCUGUGACCACCUCUUAGGCAGACAUUGGGCAUGUUCUACAGACUCUUGGAGCCUCCCUUUAUUUAUAAAUAAUAACAGCUAUUACUUUUUAUGGCACUUUGACCACAUACCAGACAACACAUUAAGUAUUUAUCUCAUCUAACUCUUAAAUGAACUCACAAGAUACCCAAUUUAUAUAUGGGCAAACAGAGGCCACAGAGGUUAGGGGACGUGCCUAAGGCCACACAGGAAGUGAGGGUAGAGCCAGGAUUUAAAAUCUGUCUGGCUCCGUGUAGGGAGACAGCCUCUCAGAUAUUUUCUAGCUCAGAUGUUCUAUUAUUCUAAUAACAACUCUCAUACAUCAACAGCAUUUUGUAGUUUUCAAAGGUUAUUUCAGAGUGGCUAAGAACCACCCCUUGAGUUGGCCAGCCUGGGUUCCAAUCAGCCUUUGACAUUUACUGUGAGACCUGGAAGAGGUCACUUAACCUGUCCAAGACUGUGUUCCCUCAUGCCUACAACUGGGAUAAUGACAGCAUCUAUAUAGGGCUCUUGUGAGAAUUACCUAAGGUGAUAUCCUUUAAAGCCUGUGGCACAUAGUAAGUGCUCAUGAAAGCUUUCCUUUCCUACUAGUUUCUCAUUUUAUCUGGUUUCCUUUUCUAUGCCUCUCCUCUGGCUGCUCUGUAAAACACCAUUCUCGCACCUGUAACAGUGGUUUUCACAUGAUGGUCUGUUUAGCCUAGGGCUCCCUGGGGGCCAGUGAAGGAAGACUGAAGAGGCUGGGCUUUGAGGACCCUACUGGUUCCAUCACAGGUCACAGAGCAGACCUGCUUUCAUCUGUUCUGUAUUUUGGAAUUCUGCAAAUGAUUUUAUUAAAAAGAAGGGUUUCCUACUUAAAUAUCCUACUUGAGGAACUGUAUAGACAAAAAUGAAGGAAACGUGUACAUGCUAAAACGCAACCCUAAAAUGUAUACGUUCUCCUUUUCUUAUGCUAUCAUCCCACCAUACCCUCCAAAGACAAAGCCUCGGAUGCACAGCAGUGGUUCCGGUUGGGUCUUCACCUCCUCUCCUCUGGAACAGCGUGUGCAUCAAAACAGGGAAAUCACCUGUGGGAUUCCCAUAUGUAAAACACACCUCAAAUUGGAGCCACCUGCGUGAAGGAGGUUUCAUGAACACCGAAAACACCAGCCUUUGGCUUUUCCUCAGUGAGAGCCCACAGCGCCUCCUUGUGGACUAUCUGAUAAACUGGAACCAGUUCUCGCAGGGCUGAAGGACGGUGGUCACCUAGAGGCAUUGCCCAGGAUCUGCACUGCGCUGUCCACCCAGGAAUUACUCUGUUUUCUUCUACUUUUAAAUAAAUUUGGGAGAUGGGCUGGGUGUGGUGGCUCACACCUGUAAUUUCAGCGUUUUGGAAGACCGAGGCGGGAGGACGGCGUGGGACCAGGAGUUCAUGACUGGCCUGGGCAACACAGUGAGACCCUGUCUCUAUUUUAAACAACGACAACAACAUAUUUAAAAAAUAAAAAUAAGAAAAUAAAUUUGGAAGAUGAACACAUUCUAUUUUAAUUCUGUUAGUGAUCAGUAAAACUGGCUUAAAAGCUGAGUUUCCUUUGGUUCCCUUUUGUUUUAUAAAAAAUGUCUGUGUGUACCUUUGUCAACAGCCUGAAUCCUAUGAAUCACAGGUUCCCCUGGGGAAGAUGGGGGUUUGAGUUUGGUUUCUUACUUGUGUUUAUAGGGUUCUGGGCAACUUGGGAGGGCGAGACACUAUGCCCUCAUGGGAUAACACUAAUU